rnacentral:rRNA from 1 species
AUUGAACGCUGGCGGCAUGCCUUACACAUGCAAGUCGAACGGCAGCACGGAGCUUGCUCUGGUGGCGAGUGGCGAACGGGUGAGUAAUAUAUCGGAACGUACCCUAGAGUGGGGGAUAACGUAGCGAAAGUUACGCUAAUACCGCAUACGAUCUAAGGAUGAAAGUGGGGGAUCGCAAGACCUCAUGCUCGUGGAGCGGCCGAUAUCUGAUUAGCUAGUUGGUAGGGUAAAAGCCUACCAAGGCAUCGAUCAGUAGCUGGUCUGAGAGGACGACCAGCCACACUGGAACUGAGACACGGUCCAGACUCCUACGGGAGGCAGCAGUGGGGAAUUUUGGACAAUGGGCGAAAGCCUGAUCCAGCAAUGCCGCGUGAGUGAAGAAGGCCUUCGGGUUGUAAAGCUCUUUUGUCAGGGAAGAAACGGUGAGAGCUAAUAUCUCUUGCUAAUGACGGUACCUGAAGAAUAAGCACCGGCUAACUACGUGCCAGCAGCCGCGGUAAUACGUAGGGUGCAAGCGUUAAUCGGAAUUACUGGGCGUAAAGCGUGCGCAGGCGGUUUUGUAAGUCUGAUGUGAAAUCCCCGGGCCCAACCUGGGAAUUGCAUUGGAGACUGCAAGGCUAGAAUCUGGCAGAGGGGGGUAGAAUUCCACGUGUAGCAGUGAAAUGCGUAGAUAUGUGGAGGAACACCGAUGGCGAAGGCAGCCCCCUGGGUCAAGAUUGACGCUCAUGCACGAAAGCGUGGGGAGCAAACAGGAUUAGAUACCCUGGUAGUCCACGCCCUAAACGAUGUCUACUAGUUGUCGGGUCUUAAUUGACUUGGUAACGCAGCUAACGCGUGAAGUAGACCGCCUGGGGAGUACGGUCGCAAGAUUAAAACUCAAAGGAAUUGACGGGGACCCGCACAAGCGGUGGAUGAUGUGGAUUAAUUCGAUGCAACGCGAAAAACCUUACCUACCCUUGACAUGGCUGGAAUCCCCGAGAGAUCAGGGAGUGCUCGAAAGAGAACCAGUACACAGGUGCUGCAUGGCUGUCGUCAGCUCGUGUCGUGAGAUGUUGGGUUAAGUCCCGCAACGAGCGCAACCCUUGUCAUUAGUUGCUACGAAAGGGCACUCUAAUGAGACUGCCGGUGACAAACCGGAGGAAGGUGGGGAUGACGUCAAGUCCUCAUGGCCCUUAUGGGUAGGGCUUCACACGUCAUACAAUGGUACAUACAGAGCGCCGCCAACCCGCGAGGGGGAGCUAAUCGCAGAAAGUGUAUCGUAGUCCGGAUUGUAGUCUGCAACUCGACUGCAUGAAGUUGGAAUCGCUAGUAAUCGCGGAUCAGCAUGUCGCGGUGAAUACGUUCCCGGGUCU